AUUGAACGCUGGCGGAAUGCUUUACACAUGCAAGUCGAACGGUAGAGGGGGCAACCCCUCGAGAGUGGCGAACGGGUGAGUAAUAUAUCGGAACGUGCCCAGUCGUGGGGGAUAACGUAGCGAAAGUUACGCUAAUACCGCAUACGAUCUAAGGAUGAAAGCGGGGGAUCGCAAGACCUCGCGCGAUUGGAGCGGCCGAUAUCAGAGUAGGUAGGUGGGGGGGUAAAGGCUCACCAAGCCAAUGAUCUGUAGCUGGUCUGAGAGGACGACCAGCCACACUGGAACUGAGACACGGUCCAGACUCCUACGGGAGGAAGCAGUGGUGAAUUUUGGACAAUGGACGCAAGUCUGAUCCAGCCAUUCCGCGUGCAGGAUGAAGGCCCUCGGGUUGUAAACUGCUUUUGUACGGAACGAAAAGGUCUCUCUUAAUACGGGGGACUCAUGACGGUACCGUAAGAAUAAGCACCGGCUAACUACGUGCCAGCCGCCGCCGUAA
rnacentral:rRNA from 1 species